rnacentral:rRNA from 1 species
UAAGACUUUAUGUCGACGUAUAGGGACUGACACCUGCCCGGUGCUGGAAGGUUAAGGAAGGGAGUUAGGCGCAAGCCAAAGCCCUCGACCGAAGCCCCAGUAAACGGCGGCCGUAACUAUAACGGUCCUAAGGUAGCGAAAUUCCUUGUCGGGUAAGUUCCGACCUGCACGAAUGGUGUAACGACUUGGUCACUGUCUCAACCACGGGCUCGGUGAACUUGUGGUACCGGUGAAGACGCCGGUUACCCGCAUAUGGACGGAAAGACCCUAUGCACCUUUUACUGCACCCUAUUAUUGGGUUCGGACAAAGCAUGUGUAGCAUAGGUGGGAGACUGUGAAGUCGGGGCGCUAGCUUCGAUGGAGUCAACAGUGAAAUACCACCCUUGCUUUGUUGGAAUUCUAACCUAGUACCGUAAUCCGGUACAGGAACAGUGAUAGGCGGGUAGUUUGACUGGGG